rnacentral:rRNA from 1 species
GAAAUCUAUAUUAUAAUAAUAAUAUCGAAAUGUCGUGUAUAAGUUUUAUUAUUAUUAAUAAAUUAUUAUUAAAUAAUUGUAUUUAAAUAUACAGCCAUAGAAGGUGCCAGCCCUGUUAUUUAAUAAUAUUUAUUAAAUUUAUAAAACUUUAGAGUCGUGUUGCUUGGAAGUGCAGCACAAAGUUGGUGAUAAACAUCAUCUAAGGCUAAAUAUUCCUAUGAAUCCGAUAGCGAACAAGUACUGUGAAGGAAAAUUGCAAAGUACUCCGGAGAGAGAGUUAAAGAGGACGUGAAACCGAUACGAUGGAAGCAUACAGAGCCAGUUGCACUAUUAUUAAUAUUUUUUAUAUUAAUAAUUUUAAGCAUGGGUAUAUUGAUUAUUAAUUAAUUAUUUAUUAAAGAGUGAUAAAAUUUUUUAAAAUUUUGUUAACUUUAAUAAAAUAAAUUAUAUUUAUAAUUAAUAUUAAUUUUUAUUAAUAUAUUUUAAUAAUAUUUUAAUUAUUAAUAUAAUAUAAGACACAUGUGUUAAAUAUUAUUUAUUUAAUAAUUAUUAUAUUAUUAUAAAUUAAUAAAACCUAUGUAA